UACGGAGGGUGCGAGCGUUGUCCGGAAUCACUGGGCGUAAAGGGCGCGUAGGCGGCAGGCCAAGCGUGUGGUGAAAGCCCGGGGCUCAACCCCGGGUCGGCCAUGCGGACUGGCGUGCUUGAGCACUGUAGGGGCGGGUGGAAUUCCCGGGGUGUAGCGGUGGAAUGCGUAGAGAUCCGGAAGAACACCGGUGGCGAAGGCGGCCCGCUGGGCAGGAAGAUGGAGCAAUCCAUCGGCUGACGCUGAGGCGCGACAGCGUGGGGAG
rnacentral:rRNA from 1 species